rnacentral:lncRNA from 1 species
GGAAGGAAGGAAGGAAGGAAGGAAGGAAGGAAGGAAGGAAGGAAGGAAGGAAGGAAGGAAGGAAGGAAGGAAGGAGGCGACAUUUAAAAUAGGUGCAGCAUACCAUCUCAUUUGGUACAAGGUGUAUUUGACUCUUGACUCUUGUUAUAAUUUGAUCUGGCAAUGUAAGAUCCUUUACUUUUCAGAACAACAACGCUUAUCUAAUUGAAUUACAUUUCAUUGAAUUGAUAGAAAGGGAGAGAGAGGGAGAGAGAGAAAGAGAAAGAGAUGUAAAUGUGGAGAGGGGAAGGGUGUCACACCCUGAUCUGUUACCUGUCCCUGUGCUUGUCUCCACCCCCCUCCAGGUGUCACCCAUCUUCCCCACUUAUCCCCUGGGUAUUUAUACCUGUGUUUUAUGUCUGUCUGUGCCAGUUUGUCUUGUUUGUUCAAGUCAACCAGCGUUUUUGUGUCUCAGCUCCUGCUUUUCCUCAUUUUCUCUUUUUCUCAUCCUCCUGGUUUUGACUCAUGCCUGACCUGACCCUGGUCCUGCCUGACUUGACCUGUCAUUUGCCUGCCCCUGAGGUAACAAUGUUUAUUGCAACAACAACAUAGUCUGCACUUGCGUCUUACCUGAAACCUGAUUAAGGGAGAGAGGAGAGAGAGGAAAGAGAGAGAGGGGGAGAGAGAGAUAAAUGUAGAGAGAGAGGAGAGAGAGGAAAGAGAGGGAGGAGAGAGAGGGGGAGGGAGAGAGAGAUAAAUGUAGAGAGAGAGGAGAGAGAGGAGAGAGAGGGAGAAGAGAGAGGGGGAGGGAGAGAAAGGAAAGAGAGAGAUGUAGAGAGAUGGAAAGGGAGAUGAGAGAGAAGAAAGACAAAACGUGGAAGGAAAACAAAAUGCUCCAACCAAACUCUAUACUCAAUUGCUAUCACAAACAAUAUUAAUAUUUACAUUGGUACCUUGGGGCAUGAGGCCCCCAGAAUAAUCUGUCUGAUCCUGAUAAACUGGGGGCUGGAGGGGGCAAUGAGCGAUUAUAUGCAGUGAUAUGGUGAUUCCUAGCAGGCCCUUGGGAAACCCCUUAGAGAACAACUAGUCAGCAUCACAGAGAGGAGGAGUGGUACCUGCCCCAUCUCCCAUCAGACAAAUCUCAUCUCCUCCUCCUCCUACUCCUCCUCCUCUCUUACCCUCCACUCUAGUCCACUCCGCUUUCUUUCUUUCUUUUUCUUUCUUUCUUUCUUUUUCUUUCUUUCUUUCUUUCUUUCUUUCUUUCUUUCUUUCU